rnacentral:rRNA from 1 species
UACGGGGGGUGCGAGCGUUGUCCGGAAUCACUGGGCGUAAAGGGCGCGUAGGUGGUUUGAUAAGGGUGUGGUGAAAGUCCGGGGCUCAACCCCGGAUCUGCCGUGCCGACUGUCAAACUCGAGGGCUGUAGAGGCAGACGGAAUUCCGGGUGUAGCGGUGGAAUGCGCAGAUAUCAGGAGGAACACCGGUGGCGAAGGCGGUUCUCUGGGCAUUACCUGACGCUGAGGAGCGAAAGCAUGGGGAGCGAACAGG